UGGGGAAUUUUGGACAAUGGGCGCAAGCCUGAUCCAGCAAUGCCGCGUGCGGGAAGAAGGCCUUCGGGUUGUAAACCGCUUUUGGCAGGAACGAAACGGUGUCCGCUAAUACCGGGCGCUAAUGACGGUACCUGCAGAAUAAGCACCGGCUAACUACGUGCCAGCAGCCGCGGUAAUACGUAGGGUGCGAGCGUUAAUCGGAAUUACUGGGCGUAAAGCGUGCGCAGGCGGUUGUGUAAGACAGGCGUGAAAUCCCCGGGCUCAACCUGGGAAUGGCGCUUGUGACUGCACGGCUGGAGUGCGGCAGAGGGGGAUGGAAAUUCCGCGUGUAGCAGUGAAAUGCUAGAUAUGCGGAGGAACACCGAUGGCGAAGGCAAUCCCCUGGGCCUGCACUGACGCUCAUGCACGAAAGCGUGGGGAGCAAACAGGAUUAGAUACCCUGGUAGUCCACGCCCUAAACGAUGUCGACUGGUUGUUGGGUCUUAGGUGACUCAGUAACGAAGCUAACGCGUGAAGUCGACCGCCUGGGGAGUACGGCCGCAAGGUUGAAACUCAAAAGGAAUUGACGGGGGU
rnacentral:rRNA from 1 species